CUAACAGUAACUUGCUCCUGUCUUUAUGACUGUUAGGGACCAAACGACGGUCUCUAGGACCUGAGUCUCUGUCCCGCCGGGGACAACUCUCCUGGUAGAAGGGAGUAACCUCGUUAGGAGAUAAGGGCUCUGAGCACCGGUGCUAACGUUGCAAAAGCCCAGAUUAAGUCCGAGGCCCGGUAUCGUACUGGGGAGGCAUCUGGCUGUAAAGUGCAGAGGCAAGUCAGCAUAAGGCCGGGGCCUGGUUUCGUGCUGGGGAGGCAGCUGGCUCUGAUACUGGAUUAAGUAAGCAUAAGGCCGGGGCCUAGUUUUGUGCUGGGGAGGCAGCUGGCUCUGAUACUGGUUUAAGUCAGCGUAAGGCCAGGGCCCAGUUUCAUGCUGGGGAGGCGGCUGGCUCUGGUUACUGGAUUAAGUCAGCGUAAGGCCGGGGCCUAGUUUCGUGCUGGGGAGGCGGCUGGCUCUGUGAACAUCCUGCAGGUCGACAGUAUCGGGCCUUGGGUGCAUUGCAACCACGUACGCCCAGCUGCUUCAGCAGUGCAAGAAGACGCUAAAAAAAAAUGGGAAACAUCUCUGCACCCGUCCAACCCCUUGAGGCUAAAGCUUCGAAGGUGCCAACAGGACCGGGACAACUCGGCUGGGCCAUCUUGUGGAUGACCCAGUUACUCUGCUCCGGAGUUGCCAGCGUGAACCCGCAUCAACCCAUCAAAAUCACCUAAAAGCUGCAAAAUGGACUAACAUGAGAGGUGCUAAACUCCACUACUGCAAUACAUCCACCAAACACAUGGUGGCCAGACUUGUACUUUGACCUUAAGCCGAUGGUAAAUGUGCCUUGGGCUAGGUGUUAUCUCCGAGAACAAGGGUUCUGGGCAUGCCCAGGCGCACCCAGACAUGACUGGAAAACCUGUGGGGGGGCACAAGACUCAUUGUAAAACUUAGGAUUGUGUUACUUCUAAUGAUGGACCUCAGCGCUGGGAAAUAAGAAAUCGAGAUUUACUUAAUUUUUCAUUCGCCAAGCCCCUCCCUAGGGUCCUCGGAGAUCCAACUUUUAGCUGUAAAAGUUGCAAUUAUGCACAAGUCAGAAUAAGGUUCAAUCCAGAAAAAAGCAAACAGGAGGGGAUUAGAUCUGCUCUUUCUGCAACAAGGGGGACUCUGUGCUGCCCUAGGAGAAGAGUGCUGUUUCUAUGCGGAUCAUACAGAAAUAGUUAAAAAAUCUAUGGCCAAAGUAAAAAAAGGACUAGCCCAACGUAAACGAAAACGUGAGGCUCAACAGAGAUGGUUUAAAUCUUGGUUUCAACAAUCCCCUUGGCUGACUACCUUAAUCUCCACCUAGCUAGGAUCCCUGCUAGUACUUUUACUGAUGCUUACCUUUGGCCCAUGCAUUAUCAAUAGACUUGUAGCCUUUGUGAAGGAACGCAUAAAUACCGUACAGCUGUUUGUGCUUCGACAACAAUAUCAAACUGUGUCUCAGGACUGAGAGGAAGAUUCCUCUAUAUGAUCUAAGGACAGGGGGGAAUGUUAGGGACCAAACGACAGUCUCUAGGACCUGAGUCAUGUUUACCAGAAAGAGACAGGAUAUGCGCUCAUCCUGCCUGGCCAAUCAUGUAACGCCAGCUACUCCUAUAACUGAGACAAAGAACUGCCUGUAUAUAAGCCGCCAUACUCCUUUGUUCGGGGCUCUUGUCGGAUUCCCUUGUGUGGGAUGAGACUUGGGCCCUAGCGCACUAGAGAUAAACUCCCUUCUUGCGUUUGCAAUACUGUGGUGGACUUGCUCUCUCAGUCGGUUCGGAGAUACGGCUCGGAGCAUAACAGUGACAUCUUGCAGG
ensembl:lncRNA